rnacentral:ribozyme from 1 species
GCAGAGGACAGGGGGGUUUAUUCCCCCUGUAAUGCACAGAGCAGGUUCCAAGUCCUG